rnacentral:rRNA from 1 species
GAUGAACGCUGGCGGCGUGCCUAAUACAUGCAAGUCGAGCGAACAGACGAGGAGCUUGCUCCUCUGACGUUAGCGGCGGACGGGUGAGUAACACGUGGAUAACCUACCUAUAAGACUGGGAUAACUUCGGGAAACCGGAGCUAAUACCGGAUAAUAUAUUGAACCGCAUGGCUCAAUAGUGAAAGACGGUUUUGCUGUCACUUAUAGAUGGAUCCGCGCCGCAUUAGCUAGUUGGUAAGGUAACGGCUUACCAAGGCAACGAUGCGUAGCCGACCUGAGAGGGUGAUCGGCCACACUGGAACUGAGACACGGUCCAGACUCCUACGGGAGGCAGCAGUAGGGAAUCUUCCGCAAAGGGCGAAAGCCUGACGGAGCAACGCCGCGUGAGUGAUGAAGGUCUUCGGAUCGUAAAACUCUGUUAUUAGGGAAGAACAAAUGUGUAAGUAACUAUGCACGUCUUGACGGUACCUAAUCAGAAAGCCACGGCUAACUACGUG